rnacentral:lncRNA from 1 species
UACCGAUUCCGAAGCUUAUAAAAACCUGAAAAUCGGCCCCAAUUAAUCGGCCAUUCCGAUUAAUCGGUCGAACUCUAGUACGUACUACGUAGUAUGAAGCAAUGUCGUACUGGGCCAUGCAUUAGUAGUACGUACUACGUAGUAGGAAGCAAUGUGCAGUACUGGGCAUGCAUUUCGUUAAUAGUACUUAAUAAUGUAAUGGAUAAAAUCAAGGGAAACCCUUCAAGUGGAAAAACCAUACCGUGUCUCUCUCCUUAUCACAUACCAUCAUACCCGUCUCUCCUCCUAUAUCCAUACCAUCAUACCGCGUCUCUCCUCCUAUAUCCAUACCAUCAUAACCGCGUCUCUCCUCCUAUGUCCAUACCACCAUACCGCGUCUCUCUUCCUAUAUCCAUACCAUCAACCGCGUCUCUCUUCCAUAUCUACCAUCAGACCGGCGGCUCUUCCUAUAUCCAUACCAUCAGACCGCUC